GACAGAGGGUGCAAACGUUGCUCGGAAUCACUGGGCGUAAAGGGCGCGUAGGCGGGGAUGUAAGUCGGGCGUGAAAUCCCCAGGCUCAACCUGGGAACUGCACUCGAAACUGCGUUUCUUGAGUAUCGGAGAGGAAAGCGGAAUUCCUGGUGUAGAGGUGAAAUUCGUAGAUAUCAGGAGGAACACCAGUGGCGAAGGCGGCUUUCUGGACGGUAACUGACGCUGAGGCGCGAAAGCGUGGGGAGCAAACGGG
rnacentral:rRNA from 1 species